GGAGCGGAUAGCCGCUUCGCGCGGCAUUGACGGGCCGGCGCGGAGAGGAAAGUCCGAACACCACAAGGCAGCGUGCCGCAAAAAGCUUGCGGAGCGGUGCGGGGUAACCUGCGCCGGAUGGAAAGUGUCACAGAAAACAAACCGCCGCCGUCGGAGCGCCCCCGCAAGGGAGCGGGCCGUGGCGGUAAGGGUGAAAAGGCGGGGUAAAAGCCCACCGCCCGUGGAGGUAACUCCCGGGGCACGAUAAACCCCACGCGGUGCAAGACCAAACAGGGGCCCACGGCCGCCUGCCAGCACGCGCGCCUACCGCCCCGGCGGAGAGCACGCGUCGGCCCCGGGUAUCGGUCGCACCAGCUCGCUCUCGCCUUCGGGCAGGGCGCGCGGCGUCUCCCCCCAUCGGGGAGGCGAGAUGAAUGGCUAUCCAGCGCCAUGCGACUGGCCGCAGCCCCUCCAGGCGGCGGUCAGCCUCCUGCCGCGGACAAAAUUCGGCUUACAGCUCCACCA
rnacentral:RNase_P_RNA from 1 species